UACGUAGGGGGCAAGCGUUGUCCGGAUUCAUUGGGCGUAAAGAGCGUGUAGGCGGCCAGGUAGGUCGGUUGUGAAAACUGGAGGCUCAACCUUCAGAGGUCGACCGAAACCAUCUGGCUAGAGUCCGGGAGAGGAGAGUGGAAUUCCGUGGUGUAGCGGUGAAAUGCGCAGAUAUCUGGAGGAACACCGGUGGCGAAGGCGGCAUCCUGGACCGACGACUGACGCUGAGGAGCGAAAGCCAGGG
rnacentral:rRNA from 1 species